rnacentral:tRNA from 1 species
GGUGAGGAAGCACAUAAGGCAUGUGCGGUCGGCUGUUAACCGAAUGGCAUAGGGUUCGAAUCCCUAACUCACCGCCA